AUGCACUGAGCAAGGCCAGGGAUAGAAUCCACAUCUUCAUGGACACUAGUCAGAUUUGUUCCCACUUUGCCACAACAGGAACUCCCUAGAGCUUAUUUUAAAUGGAUAUAGAAAUACAGACAUGAAAAAACAUAUGAUGUUUUGUAUUAUUUUCUUGCCAACCCAUAGUAGUUGCUAAGUAACAAAAUGACAAGGCAAGAAUGUCCUUUGCUUCAAACUCUUACCAAGUUGCACCACAGUCUUUGGGGUAAACCUCUGAGGCCAGUGAGCACACUGGGAAGUAUGAGGCCCUGAGAAAUGGAAAAUACUGGGCUCUAGAGCUACGUCUCUAUGAUCAGCCUGACCACCUCAGCCAUGCCAUCGCCCUGGGCUCCAGCUUCCCAUUUGUUAAAUAAAAGGAUUGCACUAGAUUUGAAGCUCUAGCUGUAAAAUAAAUUUUUCUGUUUGAAACAGGUGGUAGAGUUCCCGGGGAACGCCCAGGGCUUCAUGAUGGGGUUUUGGAAAACUGCUAGACCAAAUGGACCGAAGAAUCUGUCCCUUCUUGCCUGACAGUUCCACAUCCAAGAUCAAUGCCCCCUCAUAGGUUAAACUGAAAUCCGCUUGUGUCAUUGAUUGGUGCAGUUACUUCUCCGAUGUUGUGUCGCCACCUUGUGGCUAAUUUGCUUUAUUGGUCUAGAAGGUGACACCAUGUCAGCCAUUUCAGAUGAAAGCAGCAGAGCCAGGUGAAGGCAGGAGCAGUCUGGAGAGGAUCUGUGAGGUGAGGACUGAAGGAAAUGGAAAAAGACUGCUCCUGAAUCUUACUGGCUUUUCCUAAAACCUGUGGCAAGAUCUUCAGGAAAAUCAAGAUUCAACAGGUUUUAACAUUUUCAAAGUAAAACAUUAGGAGGAAACUAUCAGGCACCAGUCUUUGCUUUAGACCUAUGGUCAGUGGAAGAACUAAAAAGAGAAUAAAGAUUAGUUGCUGGAAGGCAGAAAUCAUGAUGAAAGUUACACAUUUCAUACAUGUACAAGAUUCAACACAGAAGCGCACAUGAAGAAGUACCCUUAAUAAACUAUCUGGUAAGUCUGUUAGAGCAGAAAAUAUAAUAAGCAUUCCCUAAUCUUUUCUCCAAUCCCAGCCUUCUAACCACUUUCAUACUCACUUCCAGGCACAGGAACAAAAGCUUUUCUCCAUGUUUUUUGUUUGUUUGUUUUUAAUGCAUCAUUAGGUGAUAAGAAAAGUGGGUAGGCUAGAAAUCAGCAUGACUGUUUACUUACCUUGGUUCCAACUUUAGACAUUUUGGGUGCAUAGAUUGGUUUCCCCAGUGCUGAAAGCCAGGAAUAGCUACAGAGUUAGAGGCACAGAGACAUUUAUACUGGGCUGGUUUCAAAUCAAACAUUUGCUUAGUCAUGAGAAUAGGAUCCAAAAAUUGAGUCAGUCAUUUAGAGGCUAUUGAUGGUUUCUAGAAAAACAAUC